UUUAUCUACUAAAGACAUUAUAGUUGUAUGUAUAUAGUGUUGGAUGUUCUGCUUUAGGGUUUUUGGGUUGUAUGUGUUUAAGGUUUUAGUUAGUGAUUAACGUUCUGGCUCUCCUAGGUCCUAGAUCUUGUUCGUGGUUGUCAAACUCGUUUAUAACUUGGUAUGAUCUUGUUCCAGACAAGCAAGAAGGAAGAGGAUGUUGAAUCUGAUGGCCCACGCCUCAAUGAUAAGAUUACCUCCGAGACUGUAAGAUUGGUUUCCGAGGAAGGACACUGUAUUGUGACUCUGAAGGAAGCUCUCAGACGGGCAAAAGAGCUCAAGCAUGACUUGGUUGAGAGAUGCUAAGCCACCAGUGUGUAAAAUUGUAGACUACGCACAUGACAAGUACAAAAAUGAUCAAGUAGGAAAGGAGCGUGCUAAGGCCAAGGUCUGUUACAUGGCCUUUGGUAUUGAAAAUAUAAAAAUUGUCGUUGUGUGUUGAGUUUAUGGGUUUUGCCUGGUUCUAGCGGGCUGAAGUAACCAUUAGACCUGAGGUCAAGGAAAUUCAUUUUACUCCAAAGAUUGAUGCAAAGGACCUACAAUUUGAAGCAAAGCAAGCAUCAAUACUGAUGGAGAUGUGAAGGAUGCAAAUGACCUACAUAUUUCUUUUUUGUUAACAUUCAUAUUUUAUCAUCCAACGCUUUUUUGUUUAACCGUUAAUAUUCCACAACUUAUAAAACAUCACUUUAACCGUACUACAUAAUAUU